rnacentral:ncRNA from 1 species
GGGAGCCGGAUGAAUCGAGAGAUUCAAGUCCGGUUCUGAGAGAGCCUGGGGGUGAAAUCCCCCUGGGCUACUCACCU